rnacentral:rRNA from 1 species
GGACUACCCGGGUUUCUAAUCCUGUUUGCUCCCCACGCUUUCGCACCUCAGCGUCAGUAUCGGGCCAGUGAGCCGCCUUCGCCACUGGUGUUCUUGCGAAUAUCUACGAAUUUCACCUCUACACUCGCAGUUCCACUCACCUCUCCCGAACUCGAGCUCGCCAGUAUCGAAGGCAGUUCUGGAGUUGAGCUCCAGGAUUUCACCUCCGACUUAACAAGCCGCCUACGUGCGCUUUACGCCCAGUAAUUCCGAGCAACGCUAGCCCCCUUCGUAUUACCGCGGCGGCUGGCAC